AUCUCAAUCGGGUUGAGGUCAGGACUCUGACUGGGCCACUUCAGAAGGUGUAUUUUCUUCUGUUUAAACCAUUCUGUUGUUGAUUUACUUCUAUGCUUUGGGUCAUUGUCCUGUUGCAACACCCAUCUUCUGUUGAGCUUCAGCUAGUAGACAGAUGGCCUUAAGUUCUCCUGCAAAAUGUCUUGAUAAACUUGGGAAUUCAUUUUUCCUUCGAUGAUAGCAAUCCGUCCAGGCCCUGACGCAGCAAAGCAGCCCCAAACCAUGAUG